UGUGUAGGCGGUCUGCCAAGUCAGGGGUGAAAUCCUUCGGCUCAACCGGAGAACUGCCCCUGAUACUGGCGGGCUAGAGGGAGACAGAGGCAGCCGGAACUACCGGUGGAGCGGUGAAAUGCGUUGAUAUCGGUAGGAACGCCAGAGGCGAAAGCGGGCUGCUGGAUCUCUUCUGACGCUGAGACACGAAAGCUAGGGGAGCGAACG
rnacentral:rRNA from 1 species